CCCUCGGCGGGUCCGUCAGCAGUUUCCAGCCAUGGUGUUCGAGUCUCUGGUCAGCGACCUCCUGAACAGGUUCAUCGGGGACUACGUGGAGAACCUGGACAAGUCUCAGUUGAAGAUCGGGAUCUGGGGAGGAAAUGUAGUUCUGGAGAACCUGAGGGUGAAGGAAAACGCUCUGAGCGAGUUUGAUGUUCCCUUCAAAGUAAAAGCUGGACAGAUUGGCAAGCUGACAUUGAAGAUCCCCUGGAAGAACCUGUACGGCGACGCGGUGGUGGCCACGCUGGACGGUCUCUACCUGCUGGUCGUUCCUGGAGCCACGAUAAAGUAUGAUGCAGCGAAGGAGGAGCGCUACCAGCAGGAGGCGAAGCAGAAGGAGCUGCAGCGCAUCGAGGAGGCGCUGCAGAGCGCGACACAAAGAGCGUCUCAGACUGGAGAUCUGCUGUUCGGUCUGGAGAGCGUUGUUUACAAGGAGCAGCUCAAUGUCCCAAAAGGACGUAAAAAACCCAAAAAGCACAAAAAAGUUCUAAAGAAACUGAAGCGACACGAACACAAAGCAGAUAAACCUCAGGAGGACAAGAAGGACACGUUCAUGGAGAAACUUGCCACUCAGGUGAUCAAGAACCUGCAGGUGAAGAUCAGCAGCAUCCACCUGCGCUACGAGGAUGACCUGUCAGAUCCACAGCGCCCCCUAUCGAUAGGAAUAACACUGUCAGAGCUCAGCCUUCAGACCACUGAUGAGAACUGGAAGCUGUGCAUUCUGAAUGAAGCUGCAAAGAUCAUCUACAAGCUGGGCCGUCUGGAGAGUCUCUGCGUCUACUGGAACGUCAACAGUCACAUGUACUACAGGAGCUCUUGGCAGGACAUUGUGGACCAGUUGAGGUCAGAGAUCAGCAGCAAAGACCAGCAGCUGCCUCACUAUCAGUACAUCUUCAAGCCGAUCUUCGCUUCGGCUAAAAUGUGCAUCAACCCGAAUGCAGAGGCAGAGCUGAAGUCUCCAAAGAUGAAGCUGCAGCUGGAGGUCCAGAACAUUGGCAUCGAGAUGACCAAACCUCAGUACCUGAGCAUGGUGGAGCUUCUGGAGUCCAUUGAUCUAAUGGCAAAGAGCGCCCCUUACAGGAAGUUCAGGCCAGAUGUUCCUGUCAGUAAGAACGCCAAAGUCUGGUGGAGAUAUACUUUCAACAGCAUCAUGGAGGUCCACAUCCGACGCCUCAGCCACAUGUGGUCCUGGUCCAAGAUUCAGCAGCACCGGGAGAGCCUGAAGGUCUACAAGGCUGCCUACAAGAGCAAGCUGCUGAGCCAGAACAAGCCAGGGCCAGAAAUCGAGAAGCAGAUCCAGGAUCUGGAGAAAACCCUGGACGUGUUCAACAUCACUCUGGCCCGUCAGCAAGCCCAGAUGGAGGUGAUCCGGUCGGGCCAGAAGCUGGCUGGGAAGAAAUCCGGAGGCCAGAAACAAGGAGGAGGCUUUUUCAGUGGCUGGUUUGGGAGGAAGGCUAAAAAGGAGGAGCAGGAGGAGGACAAGGAGCCCGAGACUUCGGGUCUGGACCAGCUGAUGACGGCUGAGGAGAAGGAAAAACUCUACACAGCUAUUGGCUACAGUGGCAGCUCGCACAACUUGGCAUUACCCAAACAGUACGUCGGUGCCAUUAUCACCUUCCAGCUGUUCAGAACGUCAGUGACCAUCAGAGAGCAGCGUGACGUCCCGGAGAUCCUCAACAUCCAGAUGGUCAACCUGAGCACCAGGAUAUCCCAGAGACCCGGAGCACAGGCGGUCAGAGUGGAGGUGGCGCUGGAGCACUGGUACGUCACAGGGCUGCAGCAGCGGGGCGCCGUCCCCUCGCUCAUCGCCUCUGUGGGCGAUUCUUCAUCAUCGCUGCUCACCGUAGUGUUUGAGUUGAACCCUGAGGAGAGUUCUGGAGACCAGCUGCUGAAGAUCCACUCCCAGCCAGUGGAGAUUAUCUACGACGCGGUGACUGUCAACAGUAUGGUGGACUUCUUCAAGACGGGGAAAGGCGUGGACCUGGAGGUCCUGACAUCGGCCACGCUGUCCAAACUGGAGGAGAUCAAAGAAAGGACGGCUGCAGGUUUGUCUCACAUCAUUGAAACCCGGAAGGUCUUGGAUCUGAAGAUCGACCUGAAGCCGUCGUACCUGAUCGUACCAAAGUCCGGCUUUUACAGCAGCGAGUCAGACCUGCUGAUCGUGGACUUUGGUAGCUUCCAGCUGUACAGCGUGGACCAGGGCAGUCGGAGUUCAUCGUCAUCCUCGUCUCUGGAGGAGAUCAUGGACCGAGCCUAUGAGCGGUACGACGUGGGGCUGAGGAAGGUCCAGCUGCUCUACAGCAAGUCAGGAGAGGCCUGGAAGACGGCGCGGCUGCAGAGUUCCUCGGCGCAGCACGUCCUGCGGCCCGUGGACCUCACGCUGCACCUGGCCAAGUGCAUGGUGGAAAAGGACGUCCGCAUGCCCAGGUUCAAGGUGUCUGGCGAGCUGCCGCUCAUGCAUGUCAGAAUCUCAGACCAGAAGAUCCAGAACGUCGUGGAUCUGGUGGAGAGCGUCCCACUGCCCACGGCCGGCUCUGCUCCUUCCACCCCCACUGAGAAGGUGUUGCCGUUGGCGACGACACGUCCUCUGGCUCAGAGUCUUGGCCCCGCCUUCCUGGACGCCUUCGAGACGGACUCUGAAGAAGACGGCGGUGAGAAGCUGACGGAUCUCCAGCGGUCGGCUGAGGAGGAACUCAUCAACGUUCUCUUCAAGUUCGAGCUCAGAGAGGUUCUGCUGGAGCUGACCCGGCAGGAGGACCAGGAGAAGACGGUUCUGUCCUUCAACGUCUCCCAACUUGGAGCCGAGGGGAAAAUGCGACGCUUCGAUCAGAGAGUCACGGCGUACCUGCGGCGCGUUGCCGUUGACUACCGUGAUGUUCCAGGGGGCAGCACUCCUCUCCACCUCAUCAGCUCCUCCCAGCAGCAGGACUCCAACCUGCUGAAGGUGGAGUUCAUCAAGGCCGACCCCAACGGUCCCAGUUUCCAGACUCUGUUCAGCAACACGGAGCAGACGCUGAAGGUGGAAGUUUCCUCUCUGGACUUCCUGCUUCACACCAAAGCUCUGCUCGCGACCAUUAGCUACCUGAACAGCGCUGUGCCACCGCGGCUCAGUGCCACGCGGGACCAGGACACUGAGAAGCAGGUCCAGAAGACACAGCAGAGUCGGACAGAGUCUAAAGGCAGUAAAGAUGGCGGCGGCAUCUUCAGCUUCAGGCUCUUCGCCAUGUUGGGCUGCUUCCAUGUUGAGGUGUGCGAUGACCGUUGCAGCAUCGCUGACAUCAGAGUCCAGGGCGUCGACGCCUCGGUGUUUGUGCAGGCGAAGGAGACAGAAGUGUUCGCCCGCCUCAGAGACAUCGUGGUGACGGACGCCAACCCCAAGACCAUCCACAAGAAGGCCGUGUCCAUCGUAGGCGAGGAGGUGUUCAGCUUCAAGCUGUCCUUGUUUCCGGGGGCGACGCAAGGGGACGGGUACAGGGACAUGUCAAAGGUGGACGGAAAGGUCACCUUGAGUCUGGGCUGCAUCCAGAUCGUCUACCUGCACAAGUUCUUCAUGUCUCUGCUGGGUUCCUUUAGCUUUCAGUACCCGUCAGCUGAUGAGAUGUUCAUUGACAACUUUCAGACGGCCAAAGAGGCUCUGAGUGCCGCCACUUCUCAGGCCGCAGAGAAAGCUGCAUCCAGCGUUCGAGACUUCGCUCAGAAGAGUUUCCGUCUGUCCACCGACAUCAGGCUGAAGGCUCCCCUCAUCAUUGUCCCUCAGUCCUCCACCUCCCAGAAUGCCCUGGUGGUGGAUCUGGGGCUGAUCACAGUGGAAAACAGCUUUGAUCUGCGGCCAGGUGAAGGGUUACCUCUGCAGGCUGUGGUGGAGAAGAUGGACAUAAAGCUGACGCAGCUGAAACUCUGCAGGAAAACGCCGGAGCUCGACUUUCCUCCCAAAGACAUCGAGAUCCUUCAGCCGAUCAACGUGGAGCUGAUGGUCACCAGAAACCUGGCUGCUUCCUGGCUGACCAAGAUCCCUGCCGUCCAGGUUCAGGGCGUCCUGCGCUCCCUCAGAGUGAGUCUGGGGGAAGAGGAGCUGGGCGUGCUGAUGAAGAUUCUAGUGGAGAACAUCGGAGAGGGAAGUAAAGACUCCGGCGCCGACGUCAGGUCAGCAGCAACCGAAGGGAAGGCGGAGCUUAGUGGGCAGCCAGAGGCGGAGCCGCGACGGUCUGAUGGUCAGACGGCCUCCGCCGGUGAAGGACCGCCUGCAGAUGACGUCAUCAAAGUUCUGGUCGACUUUGAAGUCAAAGAGGUGUUGCUGUCCCUCAAGAAGCGCUCUGACCAGCGGGAGGCGCCGUUCCUGGUGUUCCAACUCGACCAGCUGGGAAUCCACACCAAGGUCCGCAGGUUCGACCUGUGUGCCACCACCUACAUUAGACAGGUUUCCAUGAAGAGCCUAGAGUUCAAAGAUACUGGCGGCAACCCGCUGUGUCUCAUCAGCUCCUCGGUUGAGUCCGGCGCCGAGCUGCUCAAGGUGGAGUUCUGCAAGGCAGACCGCACCGGACCAGAGUUCUGCUCCGUCUACAAGAACACGGAGCAAAUGAUCCAGGUGAUGUUCUCGUCUCUGGACGUCCUGCUCCACACCCAGGCGCUCCUGUCCGCCGCCAACUUCCUGUCCAUGUCUCUGUCGUCGUCCAGCAGCAUGACGCCUGCAGAGAAGGACGUCCGGCUGAAGACGGAAGACAAGAUGGCGACUUCCAGGUCCGGUGUCCUGGUCCCGCCUGCAGACCCGGAGGUGGUGGACCUGAAGGCGACAAUGACGCUGGGAGCCUUCAACAUCCUGGUGUGUGACCAGACUUCCAACAUGGCUGACAUCAGAAUCACAGGGUUGGACAGUUCGCUGCUGAGGCGGGGCAAUCAGACCCAGAUGUCGGCCCGGCUACUGGACGUCGUCGUCCUGGACGUAGAUCCCAGGUCCGUCCACAAGGAGGCCGUCUCCAUCAUGGGAGACGAGGUGUUCAGCUUCAGCAUGAGUCUGACUCCCAACGCCACCGAGGGCGCCGGCUACGCCGACACCUCUAAGACAGACGGCCAGGUGAACCUGAGGGUGGGGUGCGUCCGGGUGGUCUACCUGCACAGGUUCAUCAUGUCUCUGCUGAACUUUAGCAACAACUUCCAGGUAGCAAAAGAGGCGCUGAGUUCGGCGACUGCGCAGGCUGCAGAGAAAGCUGCGUCCAGCGUCUUGGCCCAGAGGACGUUCCGUCUGUCCUUGGACGUCCGGGUGAAGGCUCCCCUCAUCAUCAUCCCCCAGUCCUCCACUUCCCAUAAUGCACUUGUGAUGGACCUGGGUCUCAUUACGGUGGGGAACAGUUUCUCUGUGCUGCCGGCGGGAGAGCGCCCCCUGCCUGCUGUCGUCGACAACAUGACCGUGCAGCUGUCUGAGCUACAACUGUCCAGAACCUGGUUGGGCUCCGGGUCCGAGAAGCCGAGCGUCGAGCUGCUGAAGCCGGUCAACCUGCAGCUCAGCAUCAGGAGGAACCUGGCGGCGUCCUGGUACCACAAGAUGGCCGCCGUGGAGCUGGACGGAGACCUGAAGCCCAUGGAGCUGGAGCUCAGUCAGGACGACCUCAGGGUCACGCUUCAGAUCCUGACGGAGAACCUGGCAGAAGCCGGUGGUCCGGAUGGCGGCGCCGCCCCAAAGGAGGUCCGUCUGCAGGUUCCAGUGGUCGCGGCGCCCCCAGGUGAGCCAGCUGGGAGAGGAGAGCAGGACGAGGAUGAAGCCGUGGAGACGCUGAAGUUUUCCUUCACCGUCCAGUCUCUGGGUCUGGUUCUGUACCACGAUGACCCGAAACAGCAGCCUGCGGGCCUCAGCCACCAAGAGAACCUCAGACUGGGCCAGCUGGUUCUGCGUCUGAUGACAGCUUCGGGACGGGCCCGGUCUAAUGGCAGCGUGGAGGUGAAUACGGUUCUGACGGCGUGCACUCUGGACGAUCUGCGGGCUGGAGUGAACCGGGUCACGUCACGGAUGGUGGGACAGAGGGACGAGGACGUCUCCCAGGCCAUGGUGGACGUGACGCUGCGCCAGAGUCAAGUAGAACGAGACCUGGUGGCCGUCCUGCAGAAGCUCUAUCUGUGUGCCAGCGUGGAGUUCCUCAUGGCAGUUGCAGAUUUCUUCCUUCAGGCUCUGCCUCCGAGUCUGCCUGCAGCCGUCCCUGCUGCCCCAAGCAACAAGCUGCCACUGAAGCAGAUCGCAGAACCACGGAGCGAAACCAAACCUGCCGCGGCGCUGACGACCCGGCUGCGGGCCGUCGUCGUGGACCCGGAGGUGGUGUUUGUGGCCGACCUGAUGAAGGCGGACGCGCCGGCGCUCGUCGCCUCGUUUCAGGGCGACUUCAACCUGCUGGCGGAGGCGGACGGAUCACAGAGCGUGAGGGCCCACCUGAGGGAGCUGAAGGUUCUGGCCGGCCCGUUCGUUCAGAGCAAGGAGAACAGAGCCGUGACCACCGUGCUGCAGCCCUGUUCUGUCACAUUGGAAACCAGAACCAGUCGGACCCGGCCAACCAGCGGCUCGGUGACGGUGGAGGAAGUCAUCGUUAAGAUCUCUCCGGUCAUCCUCAACACGGUGAUGACGAUAACGGCCGGCAUGACGGCGAAGGCACAGGCCGAACCGGGUCGAGCGUCUCCGGUGGAGGUCAGCGACCUGUGGUCUGUCAUGAACAUCUACAACUGCAACUUCUGGUUCCUGGGGGUGGACCAGGCCACCGAGAUCACAGAGAGCUACCGGGAGUCUGACGGCAGCACCGAUGGGGAAACCUUCACCGCGCAGGUCAAGGUGGUCCAGGUGACGCUGGAGUCGGGUUUGGGCCAUCGGACGGUCCCGCUGCUGCUGGCUGAGACGUCCCUUAAUGGAGUGGCCAAGAACUGGUCGUCUCUGCUGCAGCUGCAGGCCGACUUGACGCUGGAGGUGAACUAUUUUAACGAGGUCCACGCCGUGUGGGAACCGCUAAUAGAGCGAGUGGACAGCGGCCGGCGGCGCUGGAACCUGGAGCUGGAGAUUAAGAAUAAUCCAGUCAUGGACAAGAGUCCUGUGCAUGGAGAUGACUUUGUGUUUCUUCCUGAACCUCAAACUGCCAUCAACAUCUGCUCCAAAGACACCCUGAACAUCACCGUCUCCAAGUCCAGCCUCAGCGUCUUCCAAAAGCUUGCAGAGGCAUUCAGUGAGGGAGCAACCUCAGCCUUCGACCACACUCUGAAGGAGAAACCUCCCUUGACCCUGAGAAAUGCUCUGGGCAUUCCAGUUAUCGUGCAGCACAGCGCCAACCUGAGGCCGGUCGGAUCCGUGGCAAAAGGAAAACUUCACGAGCUGUCGGUGGAUCAGAGCAUGGACUUGAUGCACUCUGCUUUUGAAUCCACAAUCAGAGGGAAACUGUCAGCUCUGCAGCGUCAGGAGAGCGGCCUGUUUAACCUCACCAUCGUGCCUUCUGGGUACAGCGAGAUCUCCAACAUCGCCGUGGAUAAUCCUGGCAGACGUCUCUACAACGUUCGAGGUCCAAUGCUGCAGGAGGCGGUGUCGGUGCUGCUGCAGAUUGAUGCUGCUGAAGGCAACAAGAUCAUCACUGUCCGCUCCCCCCUGCAGAUUAUAAACCACUUUACAGAACCCUUCACCAUCCUGAAAUACUGCCCAGCAUCCAGAACCCUGCAGAGCAUCGGCACAGCGGAGCCGGAACGGGAGUUUCAUGUUGAUCUAGAAGCAUACAGGUGCCAGCUGUUUGUACGUCCAACGGGUCGCCUGGACGGGCUGUAUGGUCCGUCUUCCAGCUGCAUGGCCUGGAAGGAGCAGGUCCACUGCAGCUCUGAGGUCCAGUCCGUGCUGCAGUGUCCUGCGUCGGACAGCAACCUGCUGCCGCUCACGGUCAGCACGCUGGCCGUCCCCGAUGACCUGCGGCACAUCAGCAGCCGCGGCGAGGAGGACUGGGACCCCGCCUACAUCCUCCACCUGCAUCCAAUGGCAGCGCUGUGCAACCUGCUGCCGUACACCGUCAGCUACAUCAUGGAGAACUCGGCUGAAGUCUAUGAGAUUCAGGAGGGCAGCACCUCAGACCUGCUGAACGCCCGCGUGUCGGGUGAGAUCAUCUCUGUGGCGCUGAUCCGGUACCAGGGCCGGGGCUGGCACGGACACAUCCAGAUCAAACGGGAACUGCCGGAGUUUUUCGCCGUGUGCCUGACCUGCGACACUGAUGCGGCGCUGACGGUGGACGUGAGCGUUCACGUGACGAAGACGGCGAGCCGCGUCCUGCUGUCGCUCUUCAGCCCGUAUUGGAUCAUCAACAAGACGAGCCGGGUGCUUCAGUACAGCUCAGAGGACGGCGUCUUCAAGCAUCCGGCCGAGUACCGAGACGUUGUCCUCUUCUCCUUCAAGAAAUCAAACCUGUUCACCAAAAGCAAGCUGCAGCUCUGCAUCUCUACCAGCUCCUUUUCUGACGGCUUCUCCCUGGACACAGUGGGAAGUUACGGUUGCGUCCGCUGUCCCUCCACCAACAAGGACUUCCUGGUGGGCGUCAGCAUCCAGAUGAGCAGCUUCAACCUGACCAGAAUCGUCACCUUCAGUCCGUUCUACACGUUGGUCAACAAGUCUUCAUAUGAACUGGAGGUGGGAGAACUCCUCAGCCAAACGGCCACCAGGUGGCACUACGUCCCGUCCACCGAGGUCCUCCCUCUGUGGCCGGAGAAUGCCUCCAAGAAGCUUUGUGUCCGAGUGGUGGGAUCACUGUCCCACUCCAAGUUCUUCUUCUUCAGUCAGCAAGACAACGGCACCCUGCUGAGCAUGGACAUGUGUGGAGGGAUCAUGGUGGACAUCAACGUCUCCAAUCACGCCACCAUCAUCAGCUUCAAUGAAUAUUACGACGGAGCCGCCCCCGCCCUGCUGAUUAACCACACGCCCUGGGCCACCAUCAGCUACAGGCAGAGUGGUUCAGAGGUGGUCCACAAGCUGGAGCCCUGCGAGGCCCGACGUUUUGCUUGGGACGACCCUGCAGGAACCCGCAAGCUCUGCUGGAGCUGCAAGGAGCAUUCGGGGGAGCUGGACCUGCUGCAGGAUGUUGUGAGUCAGUUUACCUAUGAUGGCCAGGCUCAGAUCCACUGGGUGUCCUUCCUGGAUGGACGGCAACGGGUGCUGCUGUUCACCGAGGACACCGGCGUGGUCACCAAGGCUCGGCAGUCGGAGGAGCUCGAACAAUUUCAGCAGGAACUGAAAGUGUCUCUGCAGAACCUCGGCCUGUCGCUUGUCAACAACGGCAACCGGCAGGAGAUCGCUUACAUCGGCAUCACCAGCUCUGGCGUGGUUUGGGAGUUUAAGCCAAAGAAUCGCUGGAAGUCCUUCAGUCAGAAGAACAUCAACCUGCUGGAGAAGGUUUACCAGAGUCAGCUGAGUGGGAAGACGGAGGGAGGCUGGGUCAGACUGGACAGCAACCUGGAGGUGAACCUCAGUCCAGCUGUCAUGCUGAUGCGGCAACCCCAUGCGUGCCCUGUGAGGAGGAACUUCCUGUCUGGGAUCCAGGUGGAGUUCAAGAGGUCACUGCACCAGCGCAGCCUGAGAGCCCAACUGCAUUGGCUGCAGGUGGACAACCAGUUGCCAGGUGCGGUUUUCCCCAUCAUCUUCCAUCCAGUCCUUCCACCAAAGUCCAUCGCUCUGGACUCAGAGCCGAGACCCUUCAUCGAUGUGUCUGUCAUCACAAGGUUCAACCAGCACAGCAACGUCACCCAGAUUAAGUAUUUCAUGGCUCUAGUUCAGGAGAUGGCAUUGAAGAUCGACCAAGGUUUCCUUGAUGCUGUUGCAGCUCUGUUCAGCCCAGCUGCUAACCAGCAGGACCAUGGAAAGAAGUCGGGACUCAUCGAAGGAGAUUUGAAGCGCCUUCAGGCCGAGCCGACUGACGCCUCUCUGUCCGACGUGUCGGGACUCAGCUUCUUCGAGCAUUUUCACAUCUCACCUGUCAAGCUCCACCUCAGCCUGUCUCUGGGGUCCAGCGAUGGUGACUCUGCCCUGAAGAACCCCAUUACGCAGUCCCUGAACCUGGUGCUGAAGAGCAUCGGUGCUACUCUGACCAAUGUUGACGAUAUCAUCUUCAAACUGGCUUUCUUUGAAGUCAGAUACCAGUUCUACAGCAAAGAGAAGCUGAUGUGGGCCGUGGGCCGACACUACUCUGAAGAGUUCCUUAAGCAGAUGUAUGUUCUGGUUCUUGGCCUGGAUGUGCUGGGUAACCCGUUCGGAGUGAUCCGAGGCCUGUCUGAAGGCGUGGAGGCCUUCUUUUAUGAACCAUUCCAGGGAGCUGUUCAGGGUCCAGAGGAGUUUGCUGAAGGUUUGGCGAUCGGGGUCCGCAGCCUUUUUGGUUCAACUGUUGGUGGCGCUGCAGGAAUGUUCUCCAAGAUCACAGGUUCCAUGGGUAAAGGCCUGGCUGCCAUAACCAUGGACAAGGAGUUCCAGCAGGAACGCCGGGAGGACAUGAACCGGCCGACGAAGGACUUCAAAGACAGCCUGGCCAAAGGAGGAAAAGGACUGCUGAAGGGCGUUGUUGAUGGGGUUACUGGCAUUGUGACCAAACCAGUGGAAGGAGCCAGGAAGGAGGGCGCGGCCGGCUUCUUUAAGGGCAUCGGGAAGGGCCUGGUGGGCGCGGUGGCGCGGCCCACUGGUGGCAUCGUGGACAUGGCCAGCAGCACCUUCCAGGGGAUCCAGAGAGUGGCCGAGGCGACAGAGGAGGUGACCAAACUCCGGCCGGUCCGUCUGAUCCAGGAGGACGGGAUCAUCCGACCUUAUGACCUGACGGAGUCGCAGGGUUUUGACCUCUACCAGCCGGAGGAGGACUUGGCUGGUGAUGAACAUUAAACCCAUCAGUUUCAUGGUUCUUUGAUAUAAUCCUCGUUAAUCUACAGAUAUUUAUAAAUGUUGAAAUCUGAAUGUCAAAUGGAGAUCUGAUUUCCAUGCAUGCCAAACAAACAUUUUUACUUCCAUCUUGUUAUUUUUUCUAAAGUGUCUUUGCUUUUUACUUUUGGUUUCUAUUCAUUUAUAGUUUAUUUAAACCCAGUGGAAAAGAGUCAACUCUAGAAUUAUUUUUCUAUAAAUAAAUUCAUCAUGAUGUUGCUUUAAAGUGUUAGAUGUUAAUGUCAGAAUCUCCUUGGGGUCGUAUUGGAUCGAAACGUUAACCUUCUUGUAAAACCGGCUCCGUCAUCGGUUUGUGUUCAAAGUUUAAUAAAAUAUCUGAAACUUGUUUUCUUCUAUGAAGCAUUUUCUCAUCCCAUAAUCCCUGAAGUCUUGAAGCUCCUCCAGCUCCAGAACUCUGAGCAGGUUCUGCUGAGAUCUUUGAAGGUCCCAGCAAAGCAUUUCAGUUUGGAUGAUGGCUGGACUUUGAAUAGGACUCUAGGAAACUUUAGUCUGUAGAGCAGAUCCCGGUCCGUUCAGAGCCUGCAGCCCAGAUCAUAAUACCGCCACCACUGUGCUGUUUGAGCUUUUCUCCAUCUUGGUCCAACGUCUCCGCUCUGGUCUGCUCUGUCCAGAGGACACUGUCUCAGAAGUCUUUGUCUCUGCUAACCUCACUGCAGUGGCCAUCUUGUGCCUAGACAGAAGAGGCUUUCAGUGACAUGACCUUUGACCUUUAACCUCCUAACUGAGGCCUAUAGAGCCUGAGGUGGAGCUUUUGGUUUCUGGUCUUUUCUCUGAGCUUCAUGGUCCAACCUCUGACCUCUGAACCUGCUGGGAUGUCUGAGAGUUUCCCUCUCUGGUGGAUGAUGAACUCCAAGUAGUUCAGAAAUGACCUUUGACCCUUCCCAGGCUGAUGAGCAGCAGAAGUUGCUGACAUUGUGUUGGAGCACCUGCAAUCUGCAGAGCAGCAAAACUGCUUUAAUAGAGAAGCAUUGACCAUCAGUUCGUUGACCAUCAGUUAGUUGACGAUCUGAUCAGCUGCUCCUGUUUGCUCCUCCCCUCUCUGCUUCAGUGGAAGCAGCAGAGUGAACUGGUGGGUUACUGGGAGAUGAACUGGUUGAGAGGAUCAAACAUCUGGACGGUGAAGUCUUCAGAAGCUGCGGUCCGACCCCAGGCCACAGGAAGUCCAACAUCAUCGUCACCAACAGGCGCGUGUUCUGUGUGA